rnacentral:snRNA from 1 species
AGCUUUGCGCAGUGGCAGUAUCAUAGCCAAUGAGGUUUAUCUGAGGCGCGAUUAUUGCUAAUUGAAAAAGAAA